rnacentral:rRNA from 1 species
UACGGGGGGGGUGCGAGCGUUGUCCGGAUUUAUUGGGCGUAAAGAGCUCGUAGGCGGUUCGGUAAGUCGGGUGUGAAACCUCCAGGCUCAACCUGGAGACGCCACCCCGAUACUGCUGUGACUAGAGUCCGGUAGGGGGAGCGUGGAAUUCCUGGUGUAGCGGUGAAAUGCGCAGAUAUCAGGAGGAACACCGGUGGCGAAGGCGGGUCUCUGGGCCGAUACUGACGCUGAGGAGCGAAAGCGUGGGGAGCGAACGG